rnacentral:rRNA from 1 species
UCUCAAGCGUUGUUCGGAUUCAUUGGGCGUAAAGGGUGCGUAGGCGGCGCGGUAAGUCGGGUGUGAAAUCUUGGAGCUUAACUCCGAAACUGCAUUCGAUACUGCCGUGCUUGAGGACUGGAGAGGAGACUGGAAUUUACGGUGUAGCGGUGAAAUGCGUAGAUAUCGUAAGGAAGACCAGUGGCGAAGGCGGGUCUCUGGACAGUUCCUGACGCUGAGGCACGAAGGCCAGGGGAGCAAACGGG